AUGACGGGAGGCUGUCGUCAUUGGGUUCGAUCCCAUAUGGUAUCUAUCCCCAAUACAAUUCACUAYUUUUGACAAGAGUCCAACGGGCCUCAGGGAACAGGGAGCCAUUUGGGAUGCAGACAUAACUUCCACCAAGGCCACUGACUCCAGAUCAGAUUCCACAUUCAUUCCUCCUUUGUAGUUGGGAGGAAAAAAACAAUUCCCCAUUCGGUCUGUUUUUUAUUUUAUUUAAACUAGGCAAGUCAGUUAAGAACAAAUUCUUAUUUACAAUGACGGCAUUCAGAUACACAAACAAGGCUCUCUGGCUCAGGUCUCCCCCAUCCAUGUAAUCAUAUUCAUUAGGACAAAAAGGCUAAAACUGAUCCAGGAUCAGGCCUCCCCCAUCCAUGUAAUCAUAUUCAUUAGGACAAAAAGGCUAAAACUGAUCCAGGAUCAGGCCUCCCCCAUCCAUGUAAUCAUAUUCAUUAGGUCUAAAAGGCUAAARCUGAUCCAGGAUCAGGCCUCCCCUGUCCAUGUAAUCAUAUUCAUUAGGUCUAAAAGGCUAAAACUGAUCCAGGAUCAGCCCCCUGUCCAUAAAAUCAUAUUCAUAUAUAUGGGGCCCGGUCUGAAUAUGGAGCCCGGUCUGAAUAUGGAGCCUGGUCUGGCGCCAACAGAACAGUCGGUCAUCCUCUUCUCAUUCCAUAUCUGCCAUGUCCACAUCCCCCUGGGACACACCCCCUUUCUGGCRUCUGGCUGCCUUUGGUGCUGCUGCCUUCUUUGGUGCUGCUGCCUUCUUUGGUGCUGCCUCAACUAAGGAGGGAGAGAGAGACAGACCUCAGAUGCUGCACACAGAGAGAGAGAUAUAUAUAGGUUAUACACACAGGCCAGUUUAUUAGGUACACUACCCCGUUCACCUAAAGGAGAAGGUGCAGUACAACAGCGUUGUGCAGAACAGCCUAUCCUAUCAGCUAAAAACAAGAAGAAACGGCCCCAGUGGGCACGCCAUCGCCAACACUGGACAACUGGKGGGUGGAAACACCGUCUGGGUCCUCACGAAUCACACUUCCUGUUGAGGCAUGCUGAUGGCAGAGUCAGGAGUCCAUGUCUCCGUCUUGUCUGGUUCCGGACGAAUCCCACUUCCUGUUGAGGCAUGCUUGAUGGCAGAGUCAGGAGUCCAUGUUCUCCGUCUUGUUCUGUUCUGGACGAAUACCCCUU
rnacentral:lncRNA from 1 species